rnacentral:rRNA from 1 species
AUGGCGUUCGCCGACGAGUACCAGGGCGUGGAGGCCCACGGCAACACCAAGUUGCACGUCAUCCACACCAACGACAAGAAGCAGGUGGCGAUCACCCUCGCGCAGUACGAGCGCCACCUCAGCCUCCAGCGCCACAAGAUCAUCGGCAUUGAUCUCGAGUACAACAACGAGCCUGAAGCAACGCAGAAACCCGCCCUCUGCCAACUCUCCAUCGGCAAGAAACACCCGGUGUUGCUCUUCCAACUGAGCGCCGCUGAAAGGUGCACCGUCUUCGACAACUUCCUCGCCGACCCUAGGUACACCUUUGCAGGCUUCUCCAUCGACGGCGACAAAAAAAGGCUAGAGCGCGUCAAUCUGGAGGUCGCCAACUUUGUCGACAUCGAGAAGGAGUGGAGGGUGCCCGAGGCAACCAAGGAGUUGGACUCCCUUGGAGACGUCUCCGGCAUGCUCAUCGACGACUACUACAACAACAUGAAGAAGAAGAAGAUCACUGACGACGAGCACAAGCGCUGGGCCACCCUGCCUCUGUCCAUGAGGCACAUCGAGUACGCGGCAAAGGACGCCUACGCAGCGAUGGCGCCCGUAGCGGACACAUGCGUGUACGCAGAAGGUCUGGAGUUCACCAACGCCGAGUGGCGCAGCAUGCUCGGGUGCCUGAUGAUACCCAACAGGGGGUUUCGGCUGCCAUUUCUUCAUCGCCUCACAACCGCAGAUCUGCAGGAAAGUUGGAAACUGCCAUCCACAAUAAAAUUUCAUGCUCCGAGUUCAGGGAAGAUUACUUUGGAGACAGAACACAAGGAUGGGUAUGCAGACAUGCAAGCUGACUACCACAUCGACUCUGAAGACUGCAUCAACAUAACUACUGGUUGGAAAGAUUUUGUCUCCCAGAAUGGCUUUGACGUCGGAGAAGUGGCCAUGGUGUUUUUCUACAAAGCAGAAGACUCCCUCAAGUUUACAACAUUUGCACUCUAG